CGGGGCGUAGCGAAGCUUGGUAUCGCGCGUGAAUGGGGUUCACGAGAUCCUGGGUUCAAAUCCCAGCGCCCCGA
rnacentral:tRNA from 1 species